rnacentral:rRNA from 1 species
GACGAACGCUGGCGGCGUGCUUAACACAUGCAAGUCGAACGGAAAGGCCCUGCUUUUGUGGGGUGCUCGAGGGGCGAACGGGUGAGUAACACGUGAGUAACCUGCCCUUGACUUUGGGAUAACUUCAGGAAACUGGGGCUAAUACCGGAUAGGAGCUCCUGCUGCAUGGUGGGGGGUGGAAAGUUUCGGCGGUUGGGGAUGGACUCGCGGCUUAUCAGCUUGUUGGUGGGGUAGUGGCUUACCAAGGCUUUGACGGGUAGCCGGCCUGAGAGGGUGACCGGCCACAUUGGGACUGCGAUACGGCCCAGACUCCUACGGGAGGCAGCAGUGGGGAAUAUUGCACAAUGGGCGGAAGCCUGAUGCAGCAACGCCGCGUGCGGGAUGACGGCCUUCGGGUUGUAAACCGCUUUCGCCUGUGACGAAGCGUGAGUGACGGUAAUGGGUAAAGAAGCACCGGCUAACUACGUG